rnacentral:sRNA from 1 species
UACAAGUUGUAUUUGGACGUUUAA